UACGUAGGGGGCAAGCGUUGUCCGGAAUCAUUGGGCGUAAAGAGCGUGUAGGCGGCUCGAUAAGUCUGCUGUGAAAGUCCAGGGCUCAACCCUGGAAGGCCGGUGGAAACUGUCGGGCUAGAGUCCGGAAGAGGCGAGUGGAAUUCCCGGUGUAGCGGUGAAAUGCGCAGAUAUCAGGAAGAACACCAAUGGCGAAGGCAGCUCUCUGGGACGGUACUGGCACUGAGACGCGAAAGCGUGGGGAGCGAACAGG
rnacentral:rRNA from 1 species